rnacentral:rRNA from 1 species
GAUCAGUGGCUCAGGACGAACGCUGGCGGCGUGCUUAACACAUGCAAGUCGAACGGUAAGGCCCUUCGGGGUACACGAGUGGCGAACGGGUGAGUAACACGUGGGUGAUCUGCCCUGCACUUCGGGAUAAGCCUGGGAAACUGGGUCUAAUACCGGAUAGGACCAUGGACUUCACGGUUUGUGGUGGAAAGCUUUUGCGGUGUGGGAUGGGCCCGCGGCCUAUCAGCUUGUUGGUGGGGUAAUGGCCUACCAAGGCGACGACGGGUAGCCGGCCUGAGAGGGUGUCCGGCCACACUGGGACUGAGAUACGGCCCAGACUCCUACGGGAGGCAGCAGUGGGGAAUAUUGCACAAUGGGCGCAAGCCUGAUGCAGCGACGCCGCGUGAGGGAUGACGGCCUUCGGGUUGUAAACCUCUUUCAAUAGGGACGAAGCGCAAGUGACGGUACCUAUAGAAGAAGCACCGGCCAACUACGUG